AUCUUCCUGCAGCUUUAAUCCUACCGCUGUUUGAGCUCGGAUCUCCCUUAUCUCACUCAUGGAGACCUUCUCUUCAAGGCUUCUGCUGCCAUUCUUCUUCACCUCACUCCUGUUGCUUUCCUCUCCACAAACUGCUACUGUGGCAGGGGAGGUUGUUGGAACAUCUGGGCAGCCCAUCAGCAGGCAUGGAGGUCUGGCGCUUCCUCGGCGACUGAGGUCUGGAGCCCCUGAGCUUCGUCCUCCUUCACCAACCAGAAAUUUUGGACAUAUAACAAGCGUGCCUCCGCCACCAGAUGACAAAUUUGAUAAUAAGAGUUGACGACUAGACCAUGUAUACGUUGUUGCAGAAGAAGUGUUAACAGUUUGAAGUAAGUGGUUUUUACCAAAAAAAUAAUAAUAAUAAGUGGUUAGCCUCGACUGGGGAAAAUAGAGUUUGUUGUUGAAGAGUGUGUAUGGAUGCAACAUAACAUUCUCAUGUUUCGUAGUAAGGAUAAAAGGAUGGAUGAAAUUGUUGUGCCUGAUAUAAUUUGUAAUUCUGUAAUUUAUUUUGGAAAUGCAUUGCAUUAUUAGAGA